GGGGCUUAUGAUCCACGUCGCGGGUAUUACUGAAAGUGGCCAACCAAGAUGGCCGUGGUAGUGUGGGACAGCUGAUGGUGAUUUCUGCUGCUUCCGUGUUCUGAUGGAAAUCAGCAGCCUCUUUUAGCUUGUAUUCACAUUGAACAUUUCAGUUUAGUGAGCAGGAUUUUUUGUACUGUAUUUUGGUUUUUGGUAUGCAGAGUUGUUACCUCUCGAAUGCUUUAUAUUUGGUACCAAGCUAAGUUAAUUGCAUACCAGUAACUUUAGC
rnacentral:misc_RNA from 1 species